rnacentral:rRNA from 1 species
GACGAAGGAUGCAAGCGUUAUCCGGAUUCAUUGGGUUUAAAGGGAGCGUAGGUGGACUGAUAAGUCAGUGGUGAAAUCUUCGAGCUUAACUCGGAAAUUGCCAUUGAUACUGUUGGUCUUGAGUACAGUUGCUGUGGGCGGAAUAUGACAUGUAGUGGUGAAAUACAUAGAGAUGUCAUAGAACACCGAUUGCGAAGGCAGCUCACAAAGCUGUAACUGACACUGAGGCUCGAAAGUGUGGGGAUCAAACAGGAUUAGAUACCCUGGUAGUCCACACUGUAAACGAUGAUUACUCGCUGCUAGAGGGCAACUUUUAGUGGCUUAGCGAAAGCGAUAAGUAAUCCACCUGGGGAGUACGCCGGCAACGGUGAA